UACGUAGGGGGCUAGCGUUGUCCGGAAUCAUUGGGCGUAAAGAGCGCGUAGGCGGCUAGAUAAGUCCGGUGUGAAAGUCACAGGCUCAACCUGUGAAUGCCGCUGGAAACUGUCUGGCUAGAGUCCGGAAGGGGCGAGUGGAAUUCCUGGCGUAGCGGUGAAAUGCGCAGAUAUCAGGAGGAACACCGGUGGCGAAGGCGGGUCACUGGGCUCCACCUGACGCUGAGGCGCGAAAGCGUGGGGAGCAAACCGG
rnacentral:rRNA from 1 species